GUUUGGGCCGAACAGUGGAGGACAAAAACUUCCGGAUACCUAUAAUGCCCGUCAGUGGAAAUCAUUGUAGGAUCUUUAAGGAUCCAGCAGCAGUUCAAAAUGGCGAGCUAAAUACCACCUCACAGCUGCCAGUUUUCCUGAAGGACACAAGGUUGCCUUCUUCCCGAACAUGGGAAACUUAUUAUUCUCACCUAAUAUUUGGUUAUUGUUUAUGUAUAUGUAGAAGUUUCUGAUGGUUUCUAGCUUUGCAGCACUAACGGGACGUAUCUCAACUGGACAAAGCUCAGAAAAGAUUCUCCUCAAGCUAGGCUUCAUCACGGAGACAUUAUAUCUUUUGUUGCUGCUCCUCAUUGUGGUAAAAUGUGCUUUCUUCUUGGUGUUUAUACACUAUUCAUUUCUUUUGUUAUUUUUUUGGAACAGAUUUGGUGAAGAUGUGCAGAUUGUGAUAAUAGUUUAAUUACUGAGAUUUAUACUAAGCACUUUAAGUUGCACUACUCUAUGGAAUGAAGAGGGCUCCGUUGUGGGCUUGCUUCAUGGAAUUGAUUUUUUAUUAUUAUUAUUGUUUCUUCAUAAGGAUGCAUUUUCCUAAUUUAAUCGCAUUAUGUGAUUAUGAUUAUUGGUAAGCUUUGUUUAUAUUAUUUUGUAUACUCUGUAACUCCCAUUGUCUUCUUUAAUCUGGGAGGCCAGUAGUUGCUAUGCUCCGUCUUGCUCUUGUUGCAUAUUGAUGAUCCUAUCCUUUUCUUUUCACUUAAUUUCUCUGUCUUAUGUGACUCUUCAGAUAGUUCCUAUGCAUUUGUGUAUCGUGAAGUUCGUGGAGUCACUUUUCCACAGAAUGGAAAUACAGUAUUAAAAAGAAAGGCAGGUAAAAAUGAGUGUUCUAGUUUUUUUAAAUUUUAGCAAAAUUAUUCUGUUCCUCAGCUGGAUAUUGCAUUAGAAUUUUGUCACUUUCAUACCUUUUUUACUUAAACCACACAGAAGUAGGAAAUAAUUGUAUAUACUAGUUCGAAAUAAUAGUAAAUAGUAAAUAGUAGUUUAUUUUGUUUAUUUAGAGCUCCUUUAUUUGAAAAUUUUUCUGUCAUUUAAUGAAGAAUUUGCCAUAAGGAUUUUCAAUAUUACUAUGAUUGUUGCUUUAUGAUAUUUUUGUGGUGCUUUUAGAUAUAAAUGCUGGAUUAGAAUGUCUGAGGAUUGCCUUUUUGCUUCAAAUAGGUUUCUUUCAGUAUUGGGCCUGACAUGCUGCUACGUUAACAAAUAGUGGUUUUGAUUUUUAGUAAGGAUUAUGAUAUGUAGGUAAGUACAUAGACUCUGUGAUUCUAAGUGAUAAUGGUAUGUCUUGACUAUAGAUUUGCCCAUAAGUUGCAAACAUCUGUUCAUCUUUCUGUUAUCUAACUUCCACAGUGUUAUACGGUUUAUAUUUGAAUUAUCGUUGGCUUUUUUCCCGCUCAAAGGAUUUAGUCAGUUUCCUUAUUUUAGUUCUGACAUAUCCUGUUUAUACCAUGUAAUCCUGAAGAGGAGAAUGCUGCUGAAAGCAAGAGAUUUAAAGGUAUUGGAAUUGGUUCUCCUGAUGGUCCUGUUUCCCUAGAUGAUGUCCGAAGCCUUCAGAGAUCUAACACGGUAUAUUUAUCCUUAUAACUAUAAAUAAAAGCUUUGCUGAAAUGAUUAUUUGCUAAGGUUCUUGUUAUGUUUUUAAUUAGCUUUAAAUUUAUUCAGGAGCUUAGGCAGCAAUUGGAAUCACAUGUUUUGACAAUGGAGAUACUGCGGAGUGAAAACCGUGCAUCAGCAGCUCGGCAUGAAAAUGUAUGCAUUUAAUCCUAUCCCUUUGUUUUUGUGCAAUGCUUUUGCUUAUUAUUAUGCUUUUGCUUGUAAUUUAAGUUGCACCUUUGCAAUUUUGUCGAUGAAGUAGUGCUAUAGAAAACAGGUUGCCAUCUACAUUUAAAUCUCUCUCUCCCCCCCUCUCUCUCUCUCUCUAGGGGUGCCCUGCGCUUGUGUACCUGUCUGUCUCUUUUGUGUCUUCUUUGUCCAAAUAAAUUUUCAUCAGAACUGUUAUUAAUUGUUUGCUUCAUGAAAAUUCAACAUCCAGGAACUGAAAGAGCUGAAGGAUGUUGUUGCCAAUUCUUAUCUCGAUCAACUCAAAGAGCUGCAACAUGAGUUGGAUGAGAAUAAGAAGGAAUUAAAUUCACGUAACACGUCAAAUUUGGAACUACGGAACUCCAUAAAAGAUCUUAAUGAAAGGCUUAGUGCAUUAAAGCAAUCACGUGUUGAACUAGUAAUGGAUGGAGCCAAAUCUAGCACAAUUUAGCUUGGUUGCUCGGUUAUCGUAAGUAAGACUGCUUGCAAGUCCUACAGUCUCUCCAUCACAGAUUAAGGAGCGAUUAAAUAGAUUAAACCGCUAAUAACCAGAAUAAAUAAGUUUUAUUAUUUUUGUUCUCUUAGGUAGAGAAUUUUUGUAGUAUUCUUUAGGUCAGUCUGGCUAACUGCAAUAUUUUCUACAAGGGAAUGAAUAUACUUUUGAGGGCGUCUGAGCACUGUUUGGGCCGAACAGUGGAGGACAAAAACUUCCGGAUAGCUAUAAUGCCCGUCAGUGGAAAUCAUUGUAGGAUCUUUAAGGAUCCAGCAGCAGUUCAAAAUGGCGAGCUAAAUACCACCUCACAGCUGCCAGUUUUCCUGAAGGACACAAGGUUGCCUUCUUCCCGAACAUGGGAACUUAUUAUUCUCACCUAAUAUUUGGUUAUUGUUUAUGUAUAUGUAGAAGUUUCUGAUGG
rnacentral:lncRNA from 1 species